rnacentral:sRNA from 1 species
CUGACCCGCCGCUGUGCAGCGCACCGCACCGCGGGAAGAUGGCGUUGGAGGUCGGCGAUAUGGAAGAUGGGCAGCUUUCCGACUCGGAUUCCGACAUGACGGUCGCACCUAGCGACAGGCCGCUGCAAUUGCCAUGCUAGGUGGCGACAGUGCUAUGAGGGCCUUCCAGAACACGGCAACUGCAUGUGCACCAGUAUCACAUUAUCGAGCUGUUGAAAGUGUGGAUUCAAGUGAAGAAAGUUUUUCUGAUUCAGAUGAUGAUAGCUGUCUUUGGAAACGCAAACGACAGAAAUGUUUUAACCCUCCUCCCAAACCAGAGCCUUUUCAGUUUGGCCAGAGCAGUCAGAAACCACCUGUUGCUGGAGGAAAGAAGAUUAACAACAUAUGGGGUGCUGUGCUGCAGGAACAGAAUCAAGAUGCAGUGGCCACUGAACUUGGUAUCUUGGGAAUGGAGGGCACUAUUGACAGAAGCAGACAAUCCGAGACCUACAAUUAUUUGCUUGCCAAGAAACUUAGGAAGGAAUCUCAAGAGCAUACAAAAGAUCUAGACAAGGAACUAGAUGAAUAUAUGCACGGUGGCAAAAAAAUGGGAUCAAAGGAAGAGGAAAAUGGGCAAGGUCAUCUC